rnacentral:rRNA from 1 species
UACGAAGGGGGCUAGCGUUGCUCGGAAUCACUGGGCGUAAAGCGCACGUAGGCGGAUUGCUAGUCCGGGGGGAAAUCCUGGAGCUCAACUCCAGAACUGCCUUCGAUACUGGAGAGCUCGAGUCCGGGAGAGGUGAGUGGAACUGCGAGUGUAGAGGUGAAAUUCGUAGAUAUUCGCAAGAACACCAGUGGCGAAGGCGGCUCACUGGCCCGGUACUGACGCUGAGGCGCGAAAGCUAGGGGAGCAAACAGG